AGCAUCCUGGAAAGGUGGGUUUGCUUACCCCCAGAAAAUGGGGCCGCGCAGGUCUGUCCGCCGUGCCGCUCCAUGGCACUUGUUUGGCCAUCACAGGAGCCCAUCUGCACAACAUC